GACGAACGCUGGCGGCGUGCUUAACACAUGCAAGUCGAGCGGAGCGGCGAAAGGGUGAGUAACGCGUGAGUAACUGCCCCCCUCUCUGGGAUCACCGUUGGCAACGGCUGCUAAUACCGGACAGUGUGGGAUGAGUCGCGUCCUAUCAGCUUGUUGGUGGGGUAGUGGUCUACGAAGGGGACGACGGGUAGCCCGCCUGAGAGGUCGAACGGCCACAGUGGGCUGAGUGACGGCCCAAACGGCUACGGGAGGCAGCAGAGGAGAAUAUUACAGAAUAGGGGAAAGUCUGAGGCAACGACGCCGGGUGCGGAAUGACGGGCUUCGGGUUGUAAACCGCUUAGAGCGAGGACGCGGUAUUGGAAGAAGAAGCACCGGCUAACUACGUGCCAGCAGCCGCGGUAAUUC
rnacentral:rRNA from 1 species